UACGUAGGGGGCAAGCGUUGUCCGGAAUUAUUGGGCGUAAAGAGCGUGUAGGCGGCCAGAUAAGUCCGCUGUGAAAUCUCGAGGCUCAACUUCGAGCUGUCGGUGGAAAACUAUCUGGCUAGAGUCCGGAAGAGGAGAAUGGAAUUCCUGGUGUAGCGGUGAAAUGCGCAGAUAUCAGGAGGAACACCGGUGGCGAAGGCGGGUCUCUGGGCCGAAACUGACGCUGAGGAGCGAAAGCGUGGGGAGCAAACAGG
rnacentral:rRNA from 1 species